GACGAACGCUGGCGGCGUGCCUAAUACAUGCAAGUAGAACGCUGAAGAGAGGAGCUUGCUCUUCUUGGAUGAGUUGCGAACGGGUGAGUAACGCGUAGGUAACCUGCCUGGUAGCGGGGGAUAACUAUUGGAAACGAUAGCUAAUACCGCAUAAAAUUGAUUAUUGCAUGAUAAUUAAUUGAAAGAUGCAAUUGCAUCACUACCAGAUGGACCUGCGUUGUAUUAGCUAGUUGGUGAGGUAACGGCUCACCAAGGCGACGAUACAUAGCCGACCUGAGAGGGUGAUCGGCCACACUGGGACUGAGACACGGCCCAGACUCCUACGGGAGGCAGCAGUGGGGAAUCUUCGGCAAUGGGGGGAACCCUGACCGAGCAACGCCGCGUGAGUGAAGAAGGUUUUCGGAUCGUAAAGCUCUGUUGUAAGAGAAGAACGGGUGUGAGAGUGGAAAGUUCACACUGUGACGGUAUCUUACCAGAAAGGGACGGCUAACUACGUGCCAGCAGCCGCGGUAAUACGUAGGUCCCGAGCGUUGUCCGGAUUUAUUGGGCGUAAAGCGAGCGCAGGCGGUUAGAUAGUCUGAAGUUAAGGCUGUGGCUUAACCAUAGUAUGCUUUGGAAACUGUUUAACUUGAGUGCAGAAGGGGAGAGUGGAAUUCCAUGUGUAGCGGUGAAAUGCGUAGAUAUAUGGAGGAACACCGGUGGCGAAAGCGGCUCUCUGGUCUGUAACUGACGCUGAGGCUCGAAAGCGUGGGGAGCAAACAGGAUUAGAUACCCUGAUAGUCCACGCCGUAAACGAUGAGUGCUAGGUGUUAGGCCCUUUCCGGGGCUUAGUGCCGCAGCUAACGCAUUAAGCACUCCGCCUGGGGAGUACGACCGCAAGGUUGAAACUCAAAGGAAUUGACGGGGGCCCGCACAAGCGGUGGAGCAUGUGGUUUAAUUCGAAGCAACGCGAAGAACCUUACCAGGUCUUGACAUCCCUCUGACCGCUCUAGAGAUAGAGUUUUCCUUCGGGACAGAGGUGACAGGUGGUGCAUGGUUGUCGUCAGCUCGUGUCGUGAGAUGUUGGGUUAAGUCCCGCAACGAGCGCAACCCCUAUUGUUAGUUGCCAUCAUUGAGUUGGGCACUCUAGCGAGACUGCCGGUAAUAAACCGGAGGAAGGUGGGGAUGACGUCAAAUCAUCAUGCCCCUUAUGACCUGGGCUACACACGUGCUACAAUGGCUGGUACAACGAGUCGCAAGCCGGUGACGGCAAGCUAAUCUCUGAAAGCCAGUCUCAGUUCGGAUUGUAGGCUGCAACUCGCCUACAUGAAGUCGGAAUCGCUAGUAAUCGCGGAUCAGCACGCCGCGGUGAAUACGUUCCCGGGCCU
rnacentral:rRNA from 1 species